AAAUUGAAGAGUUUGAUCAUGGCUCAGAUUGAACGCUGGCGGCAGGCCUAACACAUGCAAGUCGAACGGUAACAGGAAGCAGCUUGCUGCUUUGCUGACGAGUGGCGGACGGGUGAGUAAUGUCUGGGAAACUGCCUGAUGGAGGGGGAUAACUACUGGAAACGGUGGCUAAUACCGCAUAACGUCGCAAGACCAAAGAGGGGGACCUUCGGGCCUCUUGCCAUCAGAUGUGCCCAGAUGGGAUUAGCUAGUUGGUGAGGUAACGGCUCACCAAGGCGACGAUCCCUAGCUGGUCUGAGAGGAUGACCAGCCACACUGGAACUGAGACACGGUCCAGACUCCUACGGGAGGCAGCAGUGGGGAAUAUUGCACAAUGGGCGCAAGCCUGAUGCAGCCAUGCCGCGUGUAUGAAGAAGGCCUUCGGGUUGUAAAGUACUUUCAGCGGGGAGGAAGGUGUUGUGGUUAAUAACCACAGCAAUUGACGUUACCCGCAGAAGAAGCACCGGCUAACUCCGUGCCAGCAGCCGCGGUAAUACGGAGGGUGCAAGCGUUAAUCGGAAUUACUGGGCGUAAAGCGCACGCAGGCGGUCUGUCAAGUCGGAUGUGAAAUCCCCGGGCUCAACCUGGGAACUGCAUUCGAAACUGGCAGGCUUGAGUCUUGUAGAGGGGGGUAGAAUUCCAGGUGUAGCGGUGAAAUGCGUAGAGAUCUGGAGGAAUACCGGUGGCGAAGGCGGCCCCCUGGACAAAGACUGACGCUCAGGUGCGAAAGCGUGGGGAGCAAACAGGAUUAGAUACCCUGGUAGUCCACGCCGUAAACGAUGUCUACUUGGAGGUUGUGCCCUUGAGGCGUGGCUUCCGGAGCUAACGCGUUAAGUAGACCGCCUGGGGAGUACGGCCGCAAGGUUAAAACUCAAAUGAAUUGACGGGGGCCCGCACAAGCGGUGGAGCAUGUGGUUUAAUUCGAUGCAACGCGAAGAACCUUACCUGGUCUUGACAUCCACGGAAGUUUUCAGAGAUGAGAAUGUGCCUUCGGGAACCGUGAGACAGGUGCUGCAUGGCUGUCGUCAGCUCGUGUUGUGAAAUGUUGGGUUAAGUCCCGCAACGAGCGCAACCCUUAUCCUUUGUUGCCAGCGGUCCGGCCGGGAACUCAAAGGAGACUGCCAGUGAUAAACUGGAGGAAGGUGGGGAUGACGUCAAGUCAUCAUGGCCCUUACGACCAGGGCUACACACGUGCUACAAUGGCGCAUACAAAGAGAAGCGACCUCGCGAGAGCAAGCGGACCUCAUAAAGUGCGUCGUAGUCCGGAUUGGAGUCUGCAACUCGACUCCAUGAAGUCGGAAUCGCUAGUAAUCGUGGAUCAGAAUGCCACGGUGAAUACGUUCCCGGGCCUUGUACACACCGCCCGUCACACCAUGGGAGUGGGUUGCAAAAGAAGUAGGUAGCUUAACCUUCGGGAGGGCGCUUACCACUUUGUGAUUCAUGACUGGGGUGAAGUCGUAACAAGGUAACCGUAGGGGAACCUGC
rnacentral:rRNA from 1 species